GUCCACUGGCAUUGGGAAAUUUGAGAAUGCGGGUUCUAACUUGUGCGUCGACCUUUGUUUUUCAGGGCAAGAAACUGGAUGGCUCUGUUAAUGCUUACGCUGUUAAUGUGCAACAGAAAAGGAAAUAUCGGCAGUACAUGAACAGAAAGGGUGGAUUUAACAGACCUCUGGAUUUCAUUGCAUAACUCCUUUUUGGCUUGUAAUGGCAUGAUGAUAGCAUGUGAUGUUCUUUACACUGUGGCCGGGGUGACUGCAGCCAUUCCUCAUCUGACAUAACUUCCAGGCAGAGUCCUGCAUUGUUUAGUUUGCGCCCUAGAGUAAGGCACUGUUGGUAGGAUGAUCUUCAAGCCUGACAGAGAAGGUUUGACUGCAUUUGUGAUGUUUAUUCUGUAUAUUGUUUUCAAAUUACUGUACUAUUAGCAAGGAAUAAAAAUACAAGGUGACAGAAAAA